AUUGAACGCUGGCGGCAUGCCUUACACAUGCAAGUCGAACGGUAACAGGUCUUCGGAUGCUGACGAGUGGCGAACGGGUGAGUAAUACAUCGGAACGUGCCUAGUAGUGGGGGAUAACUACUCGAAAGAGUGGCUAAUACCGCAUGAGAUCUACGGAUGAAAGCAGGGGAUCGCAAGACCUUGUGCUACUAGAGCGGCCGGUGGCAGAUUAGGUAGUUGGCGGGAUAAAAGCUUACCAAGCCGACGAUCUGUGGCUGGUCUGAGAGGACGAUCAGCCACACUGGGACUGAGACACGGCCCAGACUCCGACGGGAGGCAGCAGUGGGGAAUUUUGGACAAUGGGCGCAAGCCUGAUCCAGCAAUGCCGCGUGCAGGAUGAAGGCCUUCGGGUUGUAAACUGCUUUUGUACGGAACGAAAAGCCCCGGGUUAAUACCCUGGGGUCAUGACGGUACCGUAAGAAUAAGCACCGGCUGACUACGUGCCAGCAGCCGCCGUAA
rnacentral:rRNA from 1 species